UUCUGUAGGCAGCUCUGGGUGGAAUGUUUGGCUGUAUAUUUGUGAGCAGGGGGAAAAGACAGUCCAAAGACGCCAAGGAGAAGGAAGAAGGGAGUCACCAAUAAGCUGAUGAAGGUCUUCAGCUACUUGCUGGCAUUGCUGGUGAUUCCCGUGGCCUCAUAGGUUUCUGGAGCUGCAGGGCACUGUUUAGCCCAUCCAAAGCACAAGUCUGAGGGUUCAGGUAAGAAAGCCACAUAACAGCAAAGUGAGAUCCAAGAUUUCAUGGAUGACUUCCAGUAAACAGCAGAAGACAGCACCCGAUACAGCCUUGGAUUCAGUUCCCAAACCAGUCAAAUGUCCGCGGCACCCUGUCCUUGGUGCUGAAAAGACUUUCCCUGAAUGUGCCUAUUGUCCCUGCCACUUGGCAGCAUCUGAGGAUAGUGAUGGGACACAAUGCUUCACUCUACUUUCAUAGGGAAUGGGGUAAUGAAUGCUAAAAUGCACAACAUGUGUACUUGUUGGCAUAGAUGUUCAAGAGUGGUUUGGGAAGUCAGUCUCUGGAGCUCCAUGCCAUUUGUGUCCUGACGAAGCUUGUACACAUUCCAAGAAUGUAUCUUAUCUCCUAAGUAUUGAAAGUACAAAUACCAACCCUGUAAUGUCGCCAUACAGAAGCUGUGCUGUUCUCUUCCUUAUGCUUAUGGCCACUGUGGAAUUUCACUUGUUUUUUUUGGUUCUUUUUUUUUUUUUCCUGA
rnacentral:sRNA from 1 species